rnacentral:tRNA from 1 species
UUAGUUGAAGCCAAAACUAGAGGCGAGUUUUUGUUAAGAACUUAAUAGAGUUUAACUCCGACUAAG